AAGACUAUACUUUCAGGGAUCAUUUCUCUAGUUCUUUACAAAUAACUAGCACAAGACUAUUUCUGAAGAGCCUGGCACAAUGGGCUUC
rnacentral:snoRNA from 1 species